rnacentral:lncRNA from 1 species
GCAAAAGUAAAGUACAUAGCUUCUUAUUAUUCUACCCUUUGGAGCAGCUUUUCAGAUGUCAGUAAUCUGACCAAGAAAAGUUAAUGUGAGAUCAAGAACGAAGGAGGGCAAAAACUGCACAAAAGAAACAAACCACUGCUCUUGAAAUAUAAUACCAGUGGAAAAAAACAAACAAACAAAAAACAAACAAAACCUCAAGACAAAAACUGGCCUAACAAUGCAAACUAGAACUUAAAUAAGAUCUUACCACACCUCUGCAGCCACCCAUAUCCAGUGUGUAUCCUGGAAAGACUUAUGACUAACCAAAGAGAGGAGAGACCAUGAAAAGAGUCAGUCAUGGAUUUUUAAUUUGCUACGCUUCCUCUUCAGGUGAGAGGACUUGGGACUCUGUAGUGAAAGGAGACUGCGGGUGAGAGGCUGAAGAACCGCUCCCCAGGAAUUUUGAGUUCCUUCGGAGCCUGGAGUUAAUGAAGAGAGUGGCAUUUGAGUCUU